UCCUUCUUAGCUCAGUUGGUAGAGCGCGUCACUAGUAUGGAUUAAUUGAUGACGAGGUCAGUCGUUCAAGUCGGCUAGAAGGAA
rnacentral:tRNA from 1 species